UACAGAGGGGGCAAGCGUUGUUCGGAAUUACUGGGCGUAAAGGGCGCGUAGGCGGCCUCUUAAGUCGAACGUGAAAUCCCCGGGCUCAACCCGGGAACUGCGUCCGAUACUGGGAGGCUUGAAUCCGGGAGAGGGAUGUGGAAUUCCAGGUGUAGCGGUGAAAUGCGUAGAUAUCUGGAGGAACACCGGUGGCGAAGGCGGCAUCCUGGACCGGUAUUGACGCUGAGGCGCGAAAGCUAGGGGAGCACACGGG
rnacentral:rRNA from 1 species